rnacentral:snRNA from 2 species
AAAUAAUAUACAUUCCAAAGAACGGGUAUUAUUGUAGUGGAUUUGUGACGGUGAAAGC